UACGUAGGGGGCUAGCGUUGUCCGGAAUCAUUGGGCGUAAAGCGCGCGUAGGCGGCCAGAUAAGUCCGGUGUGAAAGUCACAGGCUCAACCUGUGAAUGCCGCUGGAAACUGUCUGGCUAGAGUCCGGAAGGGGCGAGUGGAAUUCCUGGUGUAGCGGUGAAAUGCGCAGAUAUCAGGAGGAACACCGAUGGCGAAGGCAGGUCUCUGGGCCACUACUGACGCUGAGAAGCGAAAGCAUGGGGAGCGAACCGG
rnacentral:rRNA from 1 species